rnacentral:rRNA from 1 species
UACAGAGGGCCCAAGCGUUGUUCGGAUUCACUGGGCGUAAAGGGUGCGUAGGCGGCCGGGUAAGUCUGAUGUGAAAUCCCGCAGCUCAACUGCGGAACUGCAUCGGAUACUCUCCGGCUAGAGGAAUGGAGGGGAGACUGGAAUUCUCGGUGUAGCAGUGAAAUGCGUAGAUAUCGAGAGGAACACCAGUGGCGAAGGCGAGUCUCUGGACAUUUCCUAACGCUGAGGCACGAAAGCCAGGGGAGCAAACGGG